rnacentral:lncRNA from 1 species
CGAGACGGAUGAUGAAAUGAUCCCUCGUAAUCCCUUCCCCUUCCGCAAGAUUCUGGUCAUGAAAUAUAGUAGAGAUCUCGAAACGAUCUGAUCACGAAUGGUUUUGUCAAAACAAGAGUAAGAAAGAAGGAUCGGAGCAUAAAUUGAUUGUAAAGAGAAAGCGACAGAAAUACAUGCUUCUUUUAUGAUUGUGUUGAAUAACAACGGAGCUUAUUGGAAAUCCAAUCGUCUCUGAACUUCAUCACGAAUGGUUGAUUGAUAUACCUCUAAAACCGGCGAGAUCCGAAUGGCGAUGGUUUUAUUUAGGUUUAGGUUAUCACAUCGUUGCACAUCGAUGAACGGAACACAGCUUGUUGCGCGGAACAAGUAAACGAGAACGAGCGAGAACGAAGAAGACGUGAUGUGUCAUUCGUACCUAGACCCCUGCAGAGUCCGACCGGAAAGCGAAACAAUAGAGAUCGACGAAUGACAAUUGCAACGUUUCUCUAAACUGACAUGACGACCGAUAAUCCACGGUAAUCAGAUACCGCAUAUAGCUUGCGUGCGUCGUAUAGCUUGGUGUGUACAUAUAUAUAUAUGUAUAUAUGAUAUAUGAUAUAUGAAUAUAGCCUCCCAUUCGCGCGAGCGUAAGCACAAAAAAACUGCAACCAGUAAUAUAAAGCAGCCAGAAAUAGUUGGAUAUACCGAUGAGUUGUUAUU